rnacentral:lncRNA from 1 species
CUUGGACGUCACCAGCAGGAAAUAUCAGAAGCCUCCCAAGACAGUCUGUCCUCUGGAGCUUUCCAGAGAAGCCUUGGCAGACAGAAGCUGACUUUGUCUGGACCAUUACCUGGGCCUGAUGCCCCACAAAGCCCAGGGCACCACCGUGGUAGAAAAGGGCUGGCCAGUGCAUUAGCACAGGAGGACUAUCAUCACCUGUCAGGUGUCCUCUCUGAGAUAAAGAUGACUGCUGCCUCCUCAUUGAUCAUUGAUUAGCUGAGCACUCAUCAGUGUUGAGUUGCAAAUGCCUGGAUUUUGCUUCCCCUGGCAGUUGCUCCAGGGAUAAGAGAGAAAACAGCUUAUAAAUUCUUUAACAAUUCUUGGAGCCAAGGGAAGCUUACAGACUGGAUUUUCAAGCAAUGUUAUUUAAAAGGUUCCAGGGGACAUGAAGGUAAAUAGUUUGAAAAAUUGCGGAAAGUUUUUUCUUUCCUCCUCUGAAAACAUUACACAGAUUAAAUUAACCCCUAGUUAAUUCUUGUUGGGAUUAUGAGACACAGUGGAGAGCAUUGUGUUGGGGCAUUUGGCUCUGAUUUGUACAGUCCCCACCAUUCAGUUUCAUUGAAAGUUCUCUUCUGUAAAAAAAUUUAGAAUUCAAACUUUAAAAAGUUCUUUUUCUUUUCAGAUCAGUGUAAGUCAGUGCAGAUAGCUGGGCAUCAGCUAUGAAAUACCAUUAGGGAUAUGUGGGGAUUGUUUGAAGACAAAUGAACAGUUAAUUACCUCUCUUGAAGAUGUUCAAAGACAAGCUGGGUAUCAAUUUGAAGGGGGAUGUUUUGGGGAAGAUAUAAGCUGAUAUUAUAUAGUUGGAAGGAUGCUCGAGAUAAAGUCCUUUUUGGUCCUAAAAUUCUAUUAUUUUAUUCAACCUUCAUCAGUUUGAAUAUUGGAAUUUAAUGCAUUGCCUUUUUAAUGAAUGUGGAAACACUUGCUAGGUAAAGCAAUAUUUUUUUCUCAUAUUCUCCAGCAGAAAACUAUUAAUAUUGUAGCAUUUUUCUAUUAGUGUGAUGCUCAUAGUUCUACUUAUUGAUUUGUUUAUUUUUUGCAGUGGUGGGGAUCAAACCUAGGGUUUCAUACAUUAGGUAAAGCAUUCUACCACUGAGCCACCAUCUCCAGUCAAUAAUCCUAUAAGAGACAGUUCUGAUUUCAAAUUCCGUGGCUCUCUGCUCGACAUAUGACCUAUUCCAAUGUGAGGUUUAGAGAAUAUUGAAACUUUAUCAAUAGGGCAAGGAGGUAUUAAUGAAAAAAGAAUAACAUGCCAUUAUACAUAGAGGUCACGUAGGAAAGAUAAGAUGUCCUAACAUCUUGAAUAAUUUUGCAUUUCUUUGACCUUCAAAUAUUUCAGACCAAAGAACCCCUCUUCUUUCAAUGACUUCCUUGUAAAAUAAAUUACUGCACCAAACCAUGUUCAUGCUGGUCAUGGGUUUAACCACCAGUUGCUAUUACUUGAGAGUGUUUUCCCCUAGCUUCAUAUACACAUAUGACAAAUUCUCAGGUCAAUCUCCAUGGCUGCUGUGGGACUAGUUACAGUGCACAGUGCAGGUAGGUGGUCCUGGGGUGAGUAUCCAGUCAAUGCCUUCUCCCUUGACUUUCUUUGUACUGUGCUCCUGCUGUCCUGGGUGCCUUUUUAUGAAGUAGACCUCACCCUAUGUCUUAGACAAAUAUUUGAUUCUUGACUUCCCUCUCUUUAUAUUUUUGCCAACUAAAAGUUGUGUUUUCCAAUUUGACUUCUAAAAUAUCACUGAAUGGCUGAAACCCUUAAAAGACAAAAGAUUGGUCUUUUUGUUUGCCACAUAAUGAACAAUUGCCCUUCUCAGGUGAUCAGAUGGUAAAAGGCUAAGUUUGUGGAUAUAGGCUAAGCCAGAGAUCAUUGAGAAGAAUCCAAUUUUGAAACAAGUGGUUAGCUUACAUUUAUUUAUUAGAGUAUAAUUUUAAUAAGGUUAGGAAUCUUUGUGUAUUUUUGCUCACUAAUGUUUCCUAAGUGUUUUAAAACCAUCAGUGCAUAAUUAUUAAUUAAUGCACGUUGUGUAACUGCUGUAUACCAGGACAUGUGUUUGGAAAACACAUUUAUUAUGUAUGAGGCAAACAGGUAUUUGUGUGUGUGUUAUCGUUAAAAAAGAAGUGUAAUAUGUAGAAGGGCAUGACCAGUUCUGCAUUGUGAGGUUCAUGGCAGCUUUGGAGACAACAGGAUAUUGGUGAUCGAUGUUUAAUGACAGGGGCCUUUUCAGGGAGUUCAGACAACGCAGGCAGAGAAAACAUGGAGGGAGAUAGACUGACAAAGAGUCACAUGACUUCAUGUUGUAUUUGGAAAUGGGCUAGUUAUAACUUGGUUUUCCCUCACAUCAUUUGCCCACACUGCUUGCCUUCAUAAUUCAUUUUAAAGUCAAAAAGUAUUUCUUGAGUGUCAACAAGGUGCUAGCAAUAAUUUAGCCCCUGACAACACAGAAAGGAGUGGGAGAAGGAAUUCCUGCCUUCAUGAAGCUUUCAGUGUAGCCAGGAGAGACAGACGAUGAAUGAGUAAAGGUGAUAAGGAAUGAUAACUUCAGGAAAAAAUAAAAUGGGGCAAGGGGAUAUGGCAUAAUUGGGGGGGGGUAUUUUAAUAAAGGUAGUUGGAGAAAGGGCCUUAUGUGGUAAAGAGAUUUCAGGGAAAACCUGGCUAGAAUGAAAUAAUAAGCUUUGGGUGUGACUCUGUAGUUUUUUUGUUUUUAAACCCUAGUUGGAUGAAGUCCUAUUAGAUUUGGAAAAGCAAGAAAAGGGAACGGGGUCCUCAAUUGACUCAUGCCUUCAAUCUGUAAGCCCCAAUUACAAAUCAAUCACACUCAGAACUCUGUUAAUGUAAUUUCCCCUCCCAGUGUCCAAUGUUUCAGUGGUGCAACUGGGACUGACCUGAAGAGGAUAUGUACAAACCACUUUGGACAGUGGGAGGAAUCUGCUUCUGUGGUUCCCAAGGUGGGGGAAAACUCUUAAGAGAGACUGCUGCUGAAGCUGCUGGAGAAUAUCUCACAAUUGCUGAAUGACACAUCCAAACAAGGAGAGGAUUUCAAAAGCUCUUUGAGGACAGAAUUACAAGAACUUUCUAUGAACAUACUUUGGGUGGAGUGAUGGCAACUGUCAGUUUGCCUCAGCCUGAUCUGUAGUAAAGAUUUUUUAAAAAAAAAAGCCCUUUGAAGGUUGUAUUGCAGGUAUUUAUAGAUUUGUAAGAAUGUUUCUUCUUGUUGCUGAUGAAGUAUGCUGUAAUGGGAGCCCUAUUAAAUAGUCAGUGCUUCAGCUGGCAUAGAAGCCUGUUGCAUAUUAAACACUUUAUAGCUAAACUUUAUGAUAUUAAAACUUCACAGAGACAUUUAUAAACCUUGAUUGCAUUCUGAUAUGAAGUUUGCCCAGAAAGGCAUUUCUGAGUUUAUGGGAAUGGAACUUUUCAUUGUAUGGAACAUUCAAAAAGUUGUUGAAUGCCAGAGUUCAAAGUGAUUUCUCAAAUGUUGAUUUCUCUAGGGAUUUGGGGACCUUUAAAAACUUGCUGAUGACUUCUACGUCUUGCAUCUAACUUCUUUUAUAUUUCUUCAUUUUUGGAAAACAUGUAGAGUUGCCUUAGUAAGAGGAAUGUGUGGAGUUCGUGGUUUGUGCUGUAUUCAUGCCACAGUAAGAAGAGAGAGACCCUGUUUAUUGCUUGAGGAGACAUAUAAGGAAAAUAAAGGGAGGAAAAUAUCACUCAAUAAAUAAACAGUCAGGCACAGCUUGACAUUUUUCUAACCCUUUCAAGGACACACAUUCCUGAAGGUAUUGGAGUCAGUCUUUAGAAUACAUUAGAAAGUUUAACUAUUAACUUGCCUUAGUAAGGGAAUUUUCUGCAAACCUAACCUUGGAAACUUCAGCCUUUCUAAGUCCUGUUCACUCGUAAUUCAUUCAUUACACAUUUACUGAAUUCUUGCUUUGUAUCAAACAUUAUUCUAGGUACAGCUGAUAAUUAAAGGAAAGGUACAAUUCUUAAGAGUUUGUGGUUUAGCCCUGAUGGUUAAAUAAAAACAAACAAAUAAACAACAAAAGUGUAAUUCAGUUAUCUAAUUAUAGAUGAGAGAGAUCCAACAUAGGGUGUGGGAGUUGAGAAGAUUCUGGGAAACAUCUGGAAAGACUACUGGGAGAAACUAGCCCCUGCAUUCAUCAUUCAAGAAUGAGUAAGAGCUAGCAGAAGAUGUUAAGAUUGUAAUUUGUAGGCAUUGCUCAGGUGGGCAGCAGGAAAAAUUGAUAUGCAUUCUAGGAUCUGGAAGGAGCAAGUUUUACUAAAGGACUGCUUAGAAAAGUGGGACUCAGAAUGAGGGUCUAUUUUUUAGUAAAAUAAAUUAUUUAUAUAUGACAAUGGAAUGCAUUACAAUUCUUAUUCCACAGAGAGAGCACAAUUUUUCAUAUCUCUGGUUGUAUAGAAAAUAUAUUCACACCAAUUCAUGUCUUUAUACAUGUACUUUGGAUAAUAAUGUCCAUCACAUUCCACCAUCAUUUCUAACCACAUACUUCCUCCCUUCCUAAACUUAGCUCUUAAGUGCAUAAUAAUCCCAUUAUCUCACUGUGCUUAUUUUUAUCAUUGUAAGAGUCUUAAUAUUUGCUAGGUAUCUAUAAUUUAUGCCUUGUUUUCAGACACAUUGAACUAUGUAGUCUUCAUGGCAAUCUGAGGAGAAUGAUAUUAUUAUUAUUAUUAUUAUUAUUAUUAGCUGAAGAAAUGAAUCAAAGUGAUAUCAAAGAACUUGCCAAGGUCACGUAGCCAGAGUGUGAUUUUAUUGGACCUGAAAGAAGCCCUUAUAAUUUAUAUACUGAACUUGCCAUAGGACCUUCUGAGUAGUUU